rnacentral:lncRNA from 1 species
GUUCGCUGUAAGCCAUUGAUCUCCUAAUGGGUUUCUACGUUGUUCUGUUGCAGCCGCCCCGGGCACAUUCCGCGCUGCGCUCCCCGCGCUGUGACGCGCAUCGCCCCGCACCGCCGCCUGCCCGGAGGGAACGGCAGCGCGCAGGUUGGUGCCGACGCGCACACUGUUAGUGCAGCCUGAUGGCUCCGUUUCUUAAUUACCUCUCUCAGCCUGACUCGGACGCACGGGGCGCGGACGGGUGGCGGUCGCAGCGGCUCGGAGCCGCUCUGCCCGCGGUGCGGAGGCUGUUCCUGCCCGGGGUCGUUCGCGGCGCUGCGCGGCCCCCGGGCGGCGGUGUGCAUGGGGCCGUGCUCUACGUGUGAGCCCUGCCGGGCCCGAACCCGCUGCUGCGGGCUCUGCCGCUGUCACUGCGGCAACAGAGGUGCCGCGGGCGAUGUUUUCUCUAUAAGCAAAGCAAAGGGUGUGGAUCGAGGGCUGGAAAAGCACCAUCAAAGCGGCUCCUUCCUACGUCUGAGCGCCGAUCCGGUCACAGUUAAUCGGCGAACGUCACGACGGCUCUCUGAACAAAACGCCCUUCAGGGAAUCGCCAGAACCGGAGCGAUGGCCGCCUGCAGUGACAUCGAUGGGGGGCGGAUUUGGUGCCCCGAGACGUGUGCGAGUAAGAGCUCAGCCCCGCGCUGAUGGAAACGCGCUCACAGUCCGCUGAUAGCCUGGAAACUUGCCUGUGCAGAGUCCCUCCCCGUCAGAGAUGUUCCACGAGGCUGAAGGAAACAGAGCGGUGAGGAGAAGAGGCGGAUGUGCAGGGGUUGUUCACAUGCUGAAAGCUUUGAGUCACAGCAGCUCUGACGCUUUUCUGAAGAAAUAGUUCUGCAAUCGUUACAGUUGCCACCCAAACCCUACCCUGGGUGUUCUAUGGCUUACAGCAACCUCCAAACUCGCACUGCGUGUAGUGUGAAUGCUGUGUCAGGUAAGCGUGUGUAAGUCAUCCUACAGCAGCCGGUCUGGCAAAACACGUCUGAUUUGGCGGUCAAGGAGGUGAGUCCCAAAACCCAGCAAGGUCUGUAAAAGAGGAGCUGGCUGUUCCGUUUGGGCUAACGGGCAUUUUCCUUACCUACAGCCCAGCUGACUGCCAGCUCCCAGCUCAUCCCCCGA